rnacentral:rRNA from 1 species
UACGUAGGGUGCGAGCGUUGUCCGGAAUUAUUGGGCGUAAAGGGCUCGUAGGCGGUUUGUCGCGUCGGGAGUGAAAUCCACUGGCUUAACUGGUGGCUUGCUUUCGAUACGGGCAGACUGGAGGUAUGCAGGGGGAGAACGGAAUUCCUGGUGUAGCGGUGAAAUGCGCAGAUAUCAGGAGGAACACCGGUGCGAAGGCGGGUCUCUGGGCCGAUACUGACGCUGAGGAGCGAAAGCGUGGGGGAGCAAACAGG